GACGAACGCUGGCGGCGUGCCUAAUACAUGCAAGUCGAACGCAGUGGGGACGGGUGAGUAACACGUGGGUAACCUCCCAUCAGAGGGGAUAACACUUGGAAACAGGUGCUAAAUCGCAAUUGACUGAUGGACCCGCGGGGCAUUAGCUAGUUGGUGAGGUAACGGCUUACCAAGGCAACGAUGGCUAGCCGGCCUGAGAGGGUGAUCGGCAACACUGGAACUGAGACACGGCCCAGACUCCUACGGGAGGCAGCAGUAGGGAAUCUUCGACAAUGGACGAAAGUCUGACCGAGCAACGCAGCGUGAGUGAAGAAGGUUUUCGGAUCGUAAAACUCUGUUGUUAGAGAAGCGGUAUCUAACCAGAAAGCCACGGCUAACUACGUGCCAGCAGCCGCGGUAAUAC
rnacentral:rRNA from 1 species